AUGGGAAGCGCCGGAGCCACCCUCGUCCGCUUCCUGCUGUUGGCGUCGAUCGUGGCCGGGUUCGCGGCGCAUCUCGCCGCGGGGGAGAAGGACUGCUACGACGAGAGGGACAGCGUCAUCCGCAUGUGCAAGUGGACCAUCAAGAAGGGGAGCCCCUACCUGACCCCAGACAUGCCCUGCCGCCUCGAGGCGAGGAAGGUGGACAUGCCCUGCAUCUGCCGCGUGCUCACCGCCGCCGACGAGCGGAUCAUCAGCCCCGAGAAGCUCGUACGCUGCUCCCGCGAAGCCGGCGUCGCCCUCCCCGUCGGGAGCAAAUGCGGGAGUAAGCAUUCAUGCAUCCAGCGCCUGAUGCUUCUUUUCCAUUACUGUUUUUCUUGCCACGGACUAGCUCAUCUUAUCCACGCACGUGAUUUUUGCAGCCUACACAAUCGUGGCGCCAGCGCCGCCAUGCGCGCAUGCGUGAGGAGUUCCGAUCACGGGAUCGUGCGAGAGGAAGGCGAGGGAAGGGCCGGAGGAGAUGUCAGGGGAGAAUAA
rnacentral:rRNA from 1 species